UCCGUAGGUGAACCUGCGGAAGGAUCAUUAAAAGUUAAUUGGUUAUACUCCGGUAUAAAUCUAAUUAAACACCUCUGAGUACCUUACCUGUUGCUUCCGUGAGGCCUGACUCCAGUAGUGGUUCGCCACCACUGGAUACUUGCGGAAGGUAUACACUUAAACACUUUGAAUCUAUGUCAUCUGUCUGAUAAUGUUUAUAACAAACGUUAAAACUUUCAACAACGGAUCUCUUGGUUCUCGCAUCGAUGAAGAACGCAGCGAAAUGCGAUAAGUAGUGUGAAUUGCAGAAUUCAGUGAAUCAUCGAAUCUUUGAACGCACAUUGCGCCUCCUGGUAUUCCGGGAGGCAUGCCUGUUCGAGCGUCAUUAAAACCUCCUCAAGCUCUUUUGCUUGGUAUUGGAAGAAGAGGCCGCUUGUCGGUCUCCCUUUCGAAAUGCAAUGGCAGAUUGCCUCAUGUGCCCUGGCGUAAUAAGAUUUAUCUUUCGCUUGUGCAUUGGGAUGAUCCCGCCGCAAACCCCCAAUUUUUUCUGGUUGACCUCGGAUCAGGUAGGGAUACCCGCUGAACUUAAGCAUAUCAAUAAGCGGAGGA
rnacentral:rRNA from 1 species